AAACCAGCACCUCAAGUGGUCAGGAUGAUUAUUGGGCCUAAAGCAUCCGUAGCCGGCUCUGUAAGUUUUCGGUUAAAUCUGUACGCUCAACGUACAGGCUGCCGGGAAUACUGUAGAGCUAGGGAGUGGGAGAGGUAGACGGUACUCGGGAGGAAGGGGUAAAAUCCUUUGAUCUCCCGAUGACCACCUGUGGCGAAGGCGGUCUACCAGAACACGUCCGACGGUGAGGGAUGAAAGCUGGGGGAGCGAUCCGGAUUAGAUACCCGAGUAGUCC
rnacentral:rRNA from 1 species